UAUGUAUGUACAUACAUAUACAUAUGUACAUAUAUAUGUAUAAAAAAAUAUACGCAUAUAUAUACAUGCACACAUAUACAUGUACACAUACAUUCACACAUUCAUGGGAAU
rnacentral:miRNA from 1 species